rnacentral:rRNA from 1 species
UACGUAGGGUGCAAGCGUUAAUCGGAAUUACUGGGCGUAAAGAGCUCGUAGGCGGUUUUGUAAGUUUGUCGUGAAAUCCCCGGGCUCAACCUGGGAAUGGCGAUGGUGACUGCAAGGCUAGAGUUUGGCAGAGGGGGGUAGAAUUCCACGUGUAGCAGUGAAAUGCGUAGAUAUGUGGAGGAACACCGAUGGCGAAGGCAGCCCCCUGGGUCAAUACUGACGCUCAUGCACGAAAGCGUGGGGAGCAAACAGG